UGCAGUCGAGCGGACAGAUGGGAGCUUGCUCCCUGAUGUUAGCGGCGGACGGGUGAGUAACACGUGGGUAACCUGCCUGUAAGACUGGGAUAACUCCGGGAAACCGGGGCUAAUACCGGAUGCUUGUUUGAACCGCAUGGUUCAAACAUAAAAGGUGGCUUCGGCUACCACUUACAGAUGGACCCGCGGCGCAUUAGCUAGUUGGUGAGGUAAUGGCUCACCAAGGCAACGAUGCGUAGCCGACCUGAGAGGGUGAUCGGCCACACUGGGACUGAGACACGGCCCAGACUCCUACGGGAGGCAGCAGUAGGGAAUCUUCCGCAAUGGACGAAAGUCUGACGGAGCAACGCCGCGUGAGUGAUGAAGGUUUUCGGAUCGUAAAGCUCUGUUGUUAGGGAAGAACAAGUACCGUUCGAAUAGGGCGGUACCUUGACGGUACCUAACCAGAAAGCCACGGCUAACUACGUGCCAGCAGCCGCGGUAAUACGUAGGUGGCAAGCGUUGUCCGGAAUUAUUGGGCGUAAAGGGCUCGCAGGCGGUUUCUUAAGUCUGAUGUGAAAGCCCCCGGCUCAACCGGGGAGGGUCAUUGGAAACUGGGGAACUUGAGUGCAGAAGAGGAGAGUGGAAUUCCACGUGUAGCGGUGAAAUGCGUAGAGAUGUGGAGGAACACCAGUGGCGAAAGCGACUCUCUGGUCUGUAACUGACGCUGAGAGCGAAAGCGUGGGGAGCGAACAGAUUAGAUACCCUGGUAGUCCACGCCGUAAACGAUGAGUGCUAAGUGUUAGGGGUUUCCGCCCCUUAGUGCUGCAGCUAACGCAUUAAGCACUCCGCCUGGGGAGUACGUCGCAAGACUGAAACUCAAGAUUGACGGGGCCCGCACAAGCGGUGGAGCAUGUGGUUAAUUCGAGCACGCGAGACCUUACCAGUC
rnacentral:rRNA from 1 species